rnacentral:rRNA from 1 species
AUUGAACGCUGGCGGCAGGCCUAACACAUGCAAGUCGAGCGAGCGGCGGACGGGUGAGUAAUGUAUGGGAAACUGCCUGAUGGAGGGGGCUAACUACUGGAAACGGUAGCUGAUACCGCAAACCAUCAGAUGUGCCCAGAUGGGAGUAGCUGGUAGGUGGGGUAACGGCGCACCUAAGCGACGCACCCUAGCUGGUCUGAGAGGAUGACCAGCCACACGGGAACUGAGACACGGGCCAGCCGCGUACGGGAGGGAGAAGGGGGGAAUAUUGCACAAGGGGCGCAAGCCUGAUGCAGCGAUGCCGCGUGGGGGAAGAAGGCCCGCGGGUUGUAAAGCACUGUCAGCGGGUAGGCGUUACCCGCCGAAGAAGCACCGGCUAACGCCGUGCCAGCAGCCGCGGUAAUUC